rnacentral:sRNA from 1 species
AGUUGGUCCAAAGGUAGUGAGUUAUAUCCAUUGAUUGUUCACAGUCAGUUACAAAUUGAACUGCUUAUUCCAUCUACCUUUUCCCCACUUCUAAACGAUCACACUUCAU